GACGAACCGAGCGAACGUUGUUCGGAAUCACUGGGCUUAAAGGGCGCGUAGGCGGGUAUUCAAGUCUGUGGUGAAAUCCGGCAGCUCAACUGUCGGAUUGCCGUGGAUACUGGGUAUCUCGAGGGAGGUAGGGGCGUGCGGAACUAAUGGUGGAGCGGUGAAAUGCGUUGAUAUCAUUAGGAACUCCGGUGGCGAAGGCGGCACGCUGGACCUCUUCUGACGCUGAGGCGCGAAAGCCAGGGGAGCAAACGGG
rnacentral:rRNA from 1 species